rnacentral:rRNA from 1 species
GUGCACUGUGGGCGAGCGGGCGCGGGAAUACAGUGUGCCCGAGGGUGUGGCGGAGUGACUUGGCGGAAAGGGUGCGUAGUGGUGGAGGUAAGUCGUGUGUGAAAUCUCGGAGCUCAACUCCGAAAUGGCAUUGGAAACUACCUUGCUCGAGGGUUGGAGGGGUGACUGGAAUACUUGGUGUAGCAGUGAAAUGCGUAGAUAUCAAGUGGAACACCAGUGGCGAAGGCGAGUCCCUGGACAACUCCUGACACUGAGGCACGAAAGCUAGGGGAGCAAACAGGAUUAGAUACCCCAGUAGUC